GAUGAACGCUGGCGGCGUGCUUAACACAUGCAAGUCGAACGGUGAAGCCCAGCUUGCUGGGUGGAUCAGUGGCGAACGGGUGAGUAACACGUGAGCAACCUGCCCCUGACUCUGGGAUAAGCGCUGGAAACGGCGUCUAAUACCGGAUACGACAACCGAUGGCAUCUUCUGGUUGUGGAAAGAAUUUCGGUUGGGGAUGAGCUCGCGGCCUAUCAGCUAGUUGGUGAGGUAACGGCUCACCAAGGCGACGACGGGUAGCCGGCCUGAGAGGGUGACCGGCCACACUGGGACUGAGACACGGCCCAGACUCCUACGGGAGGCAGCAGUGGGGAAUAUUGCACAAUGGGCGCAAGCCUGAUGCAGCAACGCCGCGUGAGGGACGACGGCCUUCGGGUUGUAAACCUCUUUUAGUAGGGAAGAAGCGAAAGUGACGGUACCUGCAGAAAAAGCACCGGCUAACUACGUGCCAGCCGCCGCAGUAAAAC
rnacentral:rRNA from 1 species